rnacentral:rRNA from 1 species
CAUCGUUGCCCCAGUGCCUUGGCCUCGUGCUAGGCACCGAGCUGGGCGAAUGUUGGCUUCCCGCGAGCAACGCCUCACGGUUGGUUGAAAACUGAGUCCGUGGUGGAGGGCGUCGUGACGGAUGGUGGUUGAG